GACGAACGCUGGCGGCGUGCCUAAUACAUGCAAGUUGAGCGAUGAAGAUUGGUGCUUGCCCCAAUUUGAAGAGCAGCGAACGGGUGAGUAACGCGUGGGGAAUCUGCCUUUGAGCGGGGGACAACAUUUGGAAACGAAUGCUAAUACCGCAUAACAACUUUAAACAUAAGUUUUAAGUUUGAAAGAUGCAAUUGCAUCACUCAAAGAUGAUCCCGCGUUGUAUUAGCUAGUUGGUGAGGUAAAGGCUCACCAAGGCGAUGAUACAUAGCCGACCUGAGAGGGUGAUCGGCCACAUUGGGACUGAGACACGGCCCAAACUCCUACGGGAGGCAGCAGGAGGGAAUCUUCGGCAAUGGACGAAAGUCUGACCGAGCAACGCCGCGUGAGUGAAGAAGGUUUUCGGAUCGUAAAGCUCUGUUGGUAGAGAAGAACGUUGGUGAGAGUGGAAAGCUCAUCAAGUGACGGUAACUACACAGAAAGGGACGGCUAACUACGUG
rnacentral:rRNA from 1 species